ACCCAUGGUUCAGUGGGAGAGCACCUGCUUGGCAUGCAGAAGGUACCAGGUUCAAUUCCCAGCAGCUCCA
rnacentral:tRNA from 1 species